GGAAGAUGGAAGACAAAGACGAUGAUGUCGCCUUAGCUUUAAUUGUGUUAAAUUUCUGUAUUUUCGUUGCAUGUAUGAUUUAGCAUCUUGUUUGUCAUUUUGAUUGGUCAAUAAAUAUGCGAUCAACAUAAUAUGUGUUAACAGUUUUUCUGAGCGUUUAUAUGACGCCUGGGAUGUAGAGAUAUGUAAUUCUUUCCAUAAUUCUUAAGACAAAUCGAGUUGUUCAUGAAUAUGGAAUGAAUGAAUGUAACCAUGCAGAAAUAAUUCCAAAUUAAUUGGAAAAUAGUUACAAACAAUAUAUAACUGCACUGGUAUUUUUAUAAAAUUUUUUGAAAAAAUGAAUCUGAAAUUUGCAAUUAAAUGUAAUUGGUCAAAAAAAAAUGGGCUGGAUCAAAUUAGCCAUGGCCCAAACGAAAUAGAACUUGAAAAAAAAAUAAGCGGGCUUCAACUAUGAGCUUGGCCCAAUUAGCUGAGUAUAGUGUAUCUAAAAAACAUUUUAAAUAGGCUGAUUUGUUGGGCUUGGCCCAUACAAAACUCUUGAGUGGGCUGGCUCAAAUUGGCCAUGGCCCAAGCGAAAUGGAUCUUAAAGAAAAUAAACGGG
rnacentral:lncRNA from 1 species